rnacentral:lncRNA from 1 species
CAUUUCAAUAGGCAACAGGAGAAGGGGACAGAGCAAGCAGGAAUCUCAUGCCAUUGUAAAGUUUUUAGAUUUGAUUUGGGAUUUCUCAGUCUCCCCUGUGAGCAUUGCAAAAUAUUUCUGCCCAUUCUGGGUAUGAUUAAUCUAUCCAAUCCACAUGAAAAUUACCAUAUUGAGUGCUCCAAAAAUAUUCUGUGUUGAAGAAUCAGUUUAUAAGUUAAUUCCAUUGUAUAGAAUUAAUAAUAAUUAAUUCUACUCUCAAAGGCAACCCUAUGAUGUAGGUAUUAGUAUUUUCAUUUUAACAGAUGAAGAAUUUAAAGUUUGGAGAGCGGAUAAGCAACUUGCCAAAAAUCACAAAGCUGGGCCCCCAGUCAAAUCUAGUUUGGCAACCGCCAGAACCCAUGCUUUCAACCAUUCGCUACUGUCUCUUAUGACUACCAUGAACUUGGAAAUGGCACUGAAGAUAGAAUUCCAAAGAUGUCAGCACCUUGACAGGUGGGAUCUCACUCUGUCACCCAGGCUUGAGUGCAGUGGUGCAAUCUCGGCUCACUGCAACCUCCACCUCCUAGGCUCAAGUGAUCCUCCUACCUCAGCUUCCCAAGCAGCUGGGACUGAGGUGUGCACCCCCACACUUGGCUAAUUGAAACACUUCCUUCUAUCACACAAAAAGCAACAAGUACCAAACAUUUACAAAAAAUAUACUUUUUUUUUUGAAGAGGUG